rnacentral:rRNA from 1 species
AGCAGCAGCCGCGGUAAUACGUAGGUGGCAAGCGUUGUCCGGAAUUAUUGGGCGUAAAGGGCUCGCAGGCGGUUUCUUAAGUCUGAUGUGAAAGCCCCCGGCUCAACCGGGGAGGGUCAUUGGAAACUGGGAAACUUGAGUGCAGAAGAGGAGAGUGGAAUUCCACGUGUAGCGGUGAAAUGCGUAGAGAUGUGGAGGAACACCAGUGGCGAAGGCGACUCUCUGGUCUGUAACUGACGCUGAGGAGCGAAAGCGUGGGGAGCGAACAGGAUUAGAUACCCGUGUAGUCCCUGUCUCUUAUAA